rnacentral:rRNA from 1 species
CCUCGGGAGGCAGCAGUAAGGAAUAUUGCCCAAUGGGCGAAAGCCUGAGGCAGCGACGCCGCGUGGGCGAUGAAGGCCUUCGGGUCGUAAAGCCCUUUUCUGGGGGACGAGCAAGGACGGUACCCCAGGAAUCAGCGCCGGCGAACUACGUGCCAGCAGCCGCGGUAAAACGUAGGGCGCGAGCGUUAUCCGGAUUCACUGGGCGUAAAGCGCGUUGAGGCGGCUCCGUAAGUUGGGCGUGAAAGCCCCGGGCUUAACCCGGGGAGGCCGUCCAAUACUGCGGGGCUUGAGGGCAGCAGAGGGAGGUGGAAUUCCCGGUGUAGUGGUGAAAUGCGUAGAUAUCGGGAGGAACACCCGUGGCGAAGGCGGCCUCCGGGGCUGCUCCUGACGCUGAAGGCGAAAGCCGGGGGAGCGAACGGGAUUAGAUACCCCUGUAGU